GUGCCAGCAGCCGCGGUAAUACGGAGGGUGCGAGCGUUGUCCGGAUUUAUUGGGUUUAAAGGGUGCGUAGGCGGCCAGAUAAGUCAGCGGUGAAAUACCCAGGCUCAACCUGGGGGGUGCCGUUGAUACUGUAUGGCUUGAGUACGUUCCGUGUACAUGGAAUUUAUGGUGUAGCGGUGAAAUGCAUAGAUACCAUAAGGAACACCGAUAGCGAAGGCAUUGUACAGGGGCGUAACUGACGCUGAGGCACGAAAGCGUGGGUAGCGAACAGGAUUAGAUACCCUGGUAGUCCACGCCGUAAACGAUGAUCACUCGCUGUUUGGGAUUUAUUUUCAAGCGGCCAAGCGAAAGCGUUAAGUGAUCCACCUGGGGAGUACGCCGGCAACGGUGAA
rnacentral:rRNA from 1 species